rnacentral:tRNA from 1 species
AACAAUAAAGCUUAAAGCUUUUCACUUACACUGAAAAAAUUCAACCCUACCUUAA